UGGGGAAUAUUGCACAAUGGGCGCAAGCUUGAUGCAGCGACGCCGCGUGGAGGAAGAAGGUUUUCGGAUUGUAAACUCCUGUUAAGUGGGAAGAAAUAGGAAACCCUAAUAUGGUUUUCAGAUGACGGUACCACUAGAGAAAGCACCGGCAAACUUCGUGCCAGCAGCCGCGGUAAUACGAAGGGUGCAAGCGUUAUUCGGAGUUACUGGGCGUAAAGAGCGUGUAGGCGGUUUAUUAAGUCAUUUGUUAAAGAUCCUGGCUUAACUGGGAAAAGGCAGGUGAAACUGGUAGACUAGAGUGUAAGAGAGAGAGGCGGAAUUCUCGGAGUAGCGGUAAAAUGCGUAGAUCUCGAGAGGAACACCGGAAGCGAAGGCGGCUUCUUGGCUUACAACUGACGCUUAAGCGCGAAAGCGUGGGGAGCAAACAGG
rnacentral:rRNA from 1 species